AGCUCCACCCUUUCCCAGACCUCACUUAAGGGUUGGCAGUGGAGGUAAGGGUAUGUUUCUGGAGAACCCUGCUUAGCUGAGGCCUUGUGAACGUUCGUUGCUAAACCAUGUGCCUUAGGCCUUAAAGUCCAAGCCAAUGGACCACAGAAAGCUCAACCUAAUGCUAUCCUGGAAAAAGUUUUCACAGCCAUUACAAAGCAUCCGGAUGAGAAGAGGCUGGAGGGCCUUUCCAAGCAGCUGGACUGGGAUGUACGCAGCAUUCAGCGUUGGUUUCGACAAAGACGCAACCAGGAGAAGCCCAGUACUCUUACAAAGUUCUGUGAGAGCAUGUAAGGAAACUGUCUUUACAGCACAGUCUUUAGCUAUAUAGCUUGACAGAGAUCAGAAAUGGAGGGAUAAAGAUAAAAGCCAAUGGAGUACUUAAACCAUUUUCCUUGCCUUUCUU